GAUGAACGCUGGCGGCGUGCCUAAUACAUGCAAGUCGAGCGAAUGGAUUAAGAGCUUGCUCUUAUGAAGUUAGCGGCGGACGGGUGAGUAACACGUGGGUAACCUGCCCAUAAGACUGGGAUAACUCCGGGAAACCGGGGCUAAUACCGGAUAACAUUUUGAACCGCAUGGUUCGAAAUUGAAAGGCGGCUUCGGCUGUCACUUAUGGAUGGACCCGCGUCGCAUUAGCUAGUUGGUGAGGUAACGGCUCACCAAGGCAACGAUGCGUAGCCGACCUGAGAGGGUGAUCGGCCACACGGGGACUGGAACACGGCCCAGACUCCUACGGGAGGGAGCAGUAGGGAAUCUUCCGCAAUGGACGAAAGUCUGACGGAGCAACGCCGCGUGAGUGAUGAAGGCUUUCGGGUCGUAAAACUCUGUUGUUAGGGAAGAACAAGUGCUAGUUGAAUAAGCUGGCACCUUGACGGUACCUAACCAGAAAGCCACGGCUAACUACGUGCCAGCCGCCGCAGUAA
rnacentral:rRNA from 1 species